rnacentral:rRNA from 1 species
AACGGAGUUUUAACGGAAGUUUCGGAUGGAAGUUGAACUAGUGGCGACGGGUGAGUACGACGUGGGUAACCUGCCUCAGUACAGGGGGAUAACAGUUAGAAAUGACUGCUAACACCGCAUAAUAUAGCGAAACCGCAUGAUUUUGCUAUCAAAUAUUUAUAGGUAUGAGAUGGGCCCGCGUCUGAUUAGCUAGUUGUGGGGUAAAGCCUACCAAGGCGACGAUCAGUAGCCGGCUUGAGAGAGUGACCGGCCACAUUGGGACUGAGACACGGCCCAAACUCCUACGGGAGGCAGCAGUGGGGAAUAUUGGACAAUGGGGGAAACCCUGAUCCAGCGACGCCCGCGUGAGUGAAGAAGUAUUUCGGUAUGUAAAGCUCUAUCAGCAGGGAAGAUAAUGACAGUACCUGACUAAGAAGCCCCGGCUAACUACGUGCCAGCAGCAGC